GACGAAGGGGGCUAGCGUUGUUCGGAAUUACUGGGCGUAAAGGGCGCGUAGGCGGUCUGCUAAGUCAGGCGUGAAAGCCCUGGGCUCAACCUGGGAUGUGCGCUUGAUACUGCCAGGCUUGAGUGCAGGAGAGGAUGGUGGAAUUCCCAGUGUAGAGGUGAAAUUCGUAGAUAUUGGGAAGAACACCGGUGGCGAAGGCGGCCAUCUGGACUGCAACUGACGCUGAGGCGCGAAAGCGUGGGGAGCAAACAGGAUUAGAAACCCGAGUAGUCC
rnacentral:rRNA from 1 species